rnacentral:lncRNA from 1 species
GGAACCUCCAUAUGCUGCUAGUGAGACCAGUAUCCUCGAGGAUGUGGAUUUGAUCCCUGGUCUCACUCAGUGGGUUAAUAAGGAUAUGGCCUUGCUUUAAGCUGUGGUGUAGAUCAAGAUGCAGCUUGGAUCUGGCAUGGCUGUGGCUCUGGCAUAGGCUGGCAGCUGUGGCUCCAAUUCAACCCCUACCUGGAAACUUCCAUAUGCUGCUGUGGCCUUAAACAUAAAGAAAAAAAGCACAGAAAAUCAGACAGUUUUUAGUUUUAGGCUAUGUUUAAACAAAGAAUUUGAAAAUACUUUUUCUUUGCAAAAUUUAGUUGUCAAGGCAAUUACUUAUGUGAAACAAACUUAAUUUACAUUAUUUGUAAAUUUAUUUAUGUCUCACACUGUAAAUUACAGUAACGUACCAAGAUGCAACUCAACACACUUCUUUAUAGCCAUGCCUAACUUGCAGUAGAGCUUGGGAGGAAACCAGACAUAUUUUAAGUCACAAUGACCACCCCUCCAUGCCCCCUUGUGUUGUCCAUGGUCCUGGAGAAAGACAAUUCAUCUUGGGAGUUAUGAGAUAAUACAAGCAUACUCAGUUAUUUAGUGAGCCUACCUUUGGUUGGACGUCUACAAAGUAAUAUGACCUCAUAGGUCCCCUAGGUCCUUUGGAUUAGUAAUUUUCAAAAAAAUGUCUUUUUAAAGUGAGCUUUUUUGAUUUGCUUGUUUUCAUUCGUAGAACCUACACUUACUUUUCAGACUAAUUUUCAGAAUGUUCUCUUAUUUUCGAAUUGUAGCUGAAAUAACAUUUUCAAGCACAGCAUCAACAGUUGGGUUGUUCCUUACACAUUACACUUGUAUUCUUCCAGGGAUUUGAUUUUAUUCUUCAACAUAAAGGAAACAGAAAGCAAUUUUAUCUUUUUUUCCCUCCCAUAUGUAUCUUUCACCCAAGAAACGGAUUUCAAUAUCAUUCUGUGGAAGCACAGGUUUUAAUUAUUUUCUCAGGGACUGACAAUUCCAAUUUCCCAGAUGAUAAAUUAAAUGUGUAAUGCUUGAUUAUAUAUCACAUUUCAUUAUAUGCAACUAGAUAAUACCCAUGUGAAAGUUAUUCCCUAGAAACAGACCACUAAAGUACCAUUUAGUACACUGUUGAUUUAGGACACAAAAAGGUAUUUCAGCCUCCAAAAACAGUUAACAAACACCAAAAAUUAUGUAAUUUACUGUCUUGAAAUAUUUUAAGAAUGUCAAAGUCUUUAUAGUUUGCAAAGCAAUUGCAAAAGUGCUAUCAUUUUGUACCCAUAAUAAACCCAAGAGAUAGCUAUUGCUGUCUAUAUUUUACAAAUAAAGAUAUUACAAUGCUAAAAGAUUUUCUGUUACUAAAACAUCCUUGGUUGUUAAGUAACAGAGCUGAAAAUUUUACAUCCAGACCUUCUGACAGUAAGUCUUAGGACAGUUCUUCUAAUGCAACUUCCUCUAGUUUUAUAUAGAUGAGGACAUGUAAGUCCUCUUCUGAAGGAAGGAAAUAGUCUCAGUAUAAAAUAUUAAACCAGCAGCUUUUAGUGCAUCAUCUGGGAAAUGCCAAGAAGAAACACCUUGAAGUGUUUGAAAUUCACAUUUGAAAAUAUAAUAGUGAUUGAAUGAAAAAUAAAAUACAUGUGGUCAAAUAUGGUAUAAAAGAUAUUUUUCUUUGUCUAGGGCUUCUGAAAAAAUGAUUGUUGGUUAGCAGAACAAGAAUUUCUCUAGCAGUACAGCAGACGUUUUCUUUCUAGUGACAUGUGAGAGUGGGCGGUUGACCAUCAAACAGCCUUUCAAAAUUAAACCUCAGUCUCUCUUCAAAAAGAAAACAAAAAUAAUACGAGACAAACUUUGGCUAUAGACCGAAACAUCCGAUAUGGUGGAAGUACAACAUUAACCAUACUGAUGGGGCCAACAUCUGUGGAAAUGAUGAACAUGAAAUGAGAAGAAAACAAAUCCCUGGUGGGAGGAGGGGGGGAUCACAGAACAAAGUUAUCUCAGGAUCCUAGGCUCUUUGGGCUUCUAAAUAGUUCUCUGUGUAUGAGAUAACAUUUAAUCUAAUUUAAGCCCUUGUAUUUUUUCAGUGGUUUAGCCUUUAUCUUAAUAAAACUGUUUAGAAAAAUUUGGACUGACUGCUACUUACUUAAAAUAAAUGGGUAAAGUGAGUUGUUGUGAUAAAAAAAAAUGGAUUCAUCUUUAAAGUGGAUAAGAGACAAAUGGAUUGUGUGGUAGUAAUUAACUUAUUGUCUUUUUAUCACAUAGUUUCUCACAUGCUUAGGAAGUAAGGUAUUAAUCAGAAUUAUAGGAAAAAGUAUAUUUACAGUCUGGUAACUAUCAUAGAAUCUCUUCAAACUGUCAGAAAUACCACAUAGUAAUAAUAUAACUAGAAUAGUAUAUAGAGUAUAUAGUACAGAGUAUAUAGGGAGUAUAUAUAGCAUAUAUUAUAAAUUGAUUAUAAAGUAAAAAGUAUACAGGGCAGCACACACAGUAGAACAGUAGAUAGAGAAGUAUUAUAUAUUAAUCUUCAUGUAUUCAUAAGAAUAUCAUAUAUGUUCAUAUAUUAUUUUCCCCACAUUCACAGAGUAUAUGUGUUUUGAAAGUAGCAGAAGAUUGAAUUUUCACAAUUCACAAAAUAACAGAACUUUUGAGGUGUUCUAAAAUUAGGUAAAAAAUAGAUGCUUAUAAGAAAACAUCCAGAAAUAUAUCAUUAACUCUCUGAAUGUGUGAAUGAAUUUGACAUUUCCUAGGAGCUAAUGAGAUACAUGCUUGCUAUCUAACUUGUCAAGCAUUCUUUUUUGGAAAUCUUAACAAGAGAAGCCAUCUAAAUCUGAGUCAUUAAGGUGAGAUCAAGUCAAAACAUACCAAAAAUGAGAAUUAGAUUCCUGUUCUCUAAUGGUGUUUCAUAUGAAAAAGCCUGGUCCCCACUGUUGCAUAGACUGGCUUUAUAAUCCUGAUCCUGUGAAUGAAUGGUUGUCAUCUUAAGAAAUUUGCUCCAUUUCUUGGACCCCUGUGCACAGUGAAAACAUGUGUCAGAAACAACAACACUUUUGGUCCCUGCUAAUACCAAUGUUGUGAUUGUACUUGCUUUUUUUUUUCCUAUUUAUGUUGUAACUGCUAACUCCUUUUAGAAUCCAGUAUCCCAAUUACCAGCUCAGAUUUAGACCACUUUUAUCUCUUAAUGUCUGAUAAAAAUUGUCUAGUACAUACCCCACACAACAAAUUAUAGGCAGUAGAUAGCUGCUGGAUUCAAUUUCAUCUUGGAUAUAUUCCUUUAAGUAAAUAUGCUUUAAUUUUAAUGUGUGUGCAUAAAAUUAUGCUGUUUUCACUUGUAAAAUUUAGCUUAGAAACUUUCAUUCAUUAUUUAUACUUGUGUGAAUUAUUAACAUAUUUUCCCAAUUAUCAAUCAUAUCUUUUCCUUAUUUUGUUUUUAAAAAAUACUAUUUUUCUGAACAAUAAUCCUUUAUUAGUUAUUUAUGUUGUAAAUAUUUUCUCCCAGGUUAUGACUUAAUAUUCCCUAAUUGUUUCAUGAUGUAUUUGGUAAUUAAAUAUUAUUUAUUUUAGUGUAGUUUUAUUUAGCAAAUUUCUUUUAAGAUUAGCAUUGUAUCUUGUUUAAGAAAUUCUACUCUUUCCCCAAAGUGUUAAAAUAUUCUCCUAAACAUUAUUAUGAAAUUAUUAAAACUUUACUUGCACAUUUAAGCCUUUAAUCCUUUGAGUUUUGAAUUUUGCCUUUGAUGCAGGCAGGAUUUAAUCAUACCUAAUGGUUUUUCUGUAUUAGAUAAUAAUAUUUUAAAAUCUCUUAAUUUGUUUAAUUGGUGACUGACAUUUUACAUCUCAUAAUUUUAAAUUAAGCUUAUGUGAAUAAAU